rnacentral:rRNA from 1 species
UACGUAGGGUGCAAGCGUUGUCCGGAAUUAUUGGGCGUAAGGAGCUCGUAGGCGGUCUGUCGCGUCGGCUGUGAAAACUUGGGGCUCAACCCCAAGCCUGCAGUCGAUACGGGCAGACUAGAGUGUGGUAGGGGAGACUGGAAUUCCUGGUGUAGCGGUGAAAUGCGCAGAUAUCAGGAGGAACACCGGUGGCGAAGGCGGGUCUCUGGGCCAUAACUGACGCUGAGGAGCGAAAGCGUGGGGAGCGAACAGG